rnacentral:lncRNA from 1 species
UACCUGCUCAAGCCGGUUCAGAGGAUCCCCCAGUACAGGCUGUUGCUGACAGAUUAUUUGAAGAAUCUCAUAGAAGAUGCUGGAGAUUACAGAGACACUCAAGAUGCUCUUGCUGUUGUUAUAGAGGUAGCCAACCACGCCAAUGACACCAUGAAGCAAGGAGACAACUUUCAGAAACUUAUGCAAAUUCAGUACAGCUUAAAUGGACACCAUGAAAUUGUGCAGCCUGGUCGGGUAAGCAUUUUACAUUGCUUUUCG